AAAACUCAUGCUUCAGGCAGCUGCAUUUAUUUCAAAACACCCCCCAUGUUUUCAAAUAUAAAUGUUCAUCUUGUACAAGAUACACAUUUAUACUUGAAAACAUGGGGGGGGUGUUUUGAAAUAAAUGCAGCUGCCUGAAGCAUGAGGAAU